rnacentral:rRNA from 1 species
ACGAACGCUGGCGGCGUGCUUCACACAUGCAAGUCGAACGGAAAGGCCCUUCGGGGUACUCGAGUGGCGAACGGGUGAGUAACACGUGGGUGAUCUGCCCUGCACUUUGGGAUAAGCCUGGGAAACUGGGUCUAAUACCGAAUAGGACCACGCGCUUCAUGGUGUGUGGUGGAAAGCUUUUGCGGUGUGGGAUGGGCCCGCGGCCUAUCAGCUUGUUGGUGGGGUAAUGGCCUACCAAGGCGACGACGGGUAGCCGGCCUGAGAGGGUGACCGGCCACACUGGGACUGAGAUACGGCCCAGACUCCUACGGGAGGCAGCAGUGGGGAAUAUUGCACAAUGGGCGCAAGCCUGAUGCAGCGACGCCGCGUGAGGGAUGACGGCCUUCGGGUUGUAAACCUCUUUCAAUAGGGACGAAGCGCAAGUGACGGUACCUAUAGAAGAAGCACCGGCCAACUACGUG